rnacentral:rRNA from 1 species
GUCUACAGCCAUAUAACCCUGAAUGCACCAGACCGCUUCUGAUCUUGGAAACUGAGCAGUGUAGGAGAAUUUGGCUAAUAAGGCUCCUCCUUGACUACUAUGUAGAUA